GAUGAACGCUGGCGGCGUGCCUAAUACAUGCAAGUCGAACGAAGCGGGGACGGGUGAGUAACACGUAGAUACACUCCUAUAAGACUGGGAUAACUUCGGGAAACCGGAGCUAAACCGGAUAUUUAUAUAUGGAUCCGCGUUGAAUUAGCUAGUUGGUAAGGUAACGGCUUACCAAGGCAACGAUGCAUAGCCGACGUGAGAGGGUGAUCUGCCACAAUGGAACUGAGACACGGUCCAGACUCCUACGGGAGGCAGCAGUAGGGAAUCGUCCGCAAUGGGCGAAAGCCUGACGGAGCAACGCCGCGUGAGUGAUGAAGGUUUUCGGAUCGUAAAACUCUGUUAUUAGGGAAGCGGUACCUAAUCAGAAAGCCACGGCUAACUACGUGCCAGCAGCCGCGGUAAUUC
rnacentral:rRNA from 1 species